UACAGAGGUCUCAAGCGUUGUUCGGAUUCAUUGGCGUAAAGGGUGCGUAGGCGGCGCGGUAAGUCGGGUGUGAAAUCUCGGAGCUUAAACCCAUCCGUAAUCGAUUCGAUACUGCCGGUGCUUGGAGGACGUGGAGAGGAGACUGGAAUUUACGGUGUAGCGGUGAAAUGCGUAGAUAUCGUAAGGAAGACCAGUGGCGAAGGCGGGUCUCUGGACAGUUCCUGACGCUGAGGCACGAAGGUCAGGGGAGCAAACGGG
rnacentral:rRNA from 1 species